rnacentral:rRNA from 1 species
GACGAACCACACAAACGUUAUUCGGAAUUACUGGGCUUAAAGGGUGCGUAGGCGGCGCAGAAAGUAGGGUGUGAAAUCCCUCGGCUCAACCGAGGAACUGCGCCCUAAACUACUGUGCUCGAGGGAGGUAGAGGUGAGCGGAACUUAGGGUGGAGCGGUGAAAUGCGUUGAUAUCCUAAGGAACACCGGUGGCGAAAGCGGCUCACUGGACCUCUUCUGACGCUGAGGCACGAAAGCCAGGGGAGCAAACGGG